CCUAAGUAAGCGCUUUAACAUAAUUAAUGAUCCCCCCUCCGUAGGUGAACCUGCGGAAGGAUCAUUAAUUAUGUUAAAGCGCCUUACCUUAGGGUUUCCUCUGGGGUAAGUGAUUGCUUCUACACUGUGAAAAUUUGGCUGAGAGACUCAGACUGGUCAUGGGUAGACCUAUCUGGGGUUUGAUCGAUGCCACUCCUGGUUUCAGGAGUACCCUUCAUAAUAAACCUAGAAAUUCAGUAUUAUAAAGUUUAAUAAAAAACAACUUUUAACAAUGGAUCUCUUGGUUCUCGCAUCGAUGAAGAACGUAGCAAAGUGCGAUAACUAGUGUGAAUUGCAUAUUCAGUGAAUCAUCGAGUCUUUGAACGCAGCUUGCACUCUAUGGUUUUUCUAUAGAGUACGCCUGCUUCAGUAUCAUCACAAACCCACACAUAACAUUUGUUUAUGUGGUGAUGGGUCGCAUCGCUGUUUUAUUACAGUGAGCACCUAAAAUGUGUGUGAUUUUCUGUCUGGCUUGCUAGGCAGGAAUAUUACGCUGGUCUCAGGAUCUUUUUUUUUGGUUCGCCCAGGAAGUAAAGUACAAGAGUAUAAUCCAGUAACUUUCAAACUAUGAUCUGAAGUCAGGUGGGAUUACCCGCUGAACUUAAGCAUAUCAAUAAGCGGAGGA
rnacentral:rRNA from 1 species